CACGUAGGGCGCAAGCGUUGUCCGGAAUUAUUGGGCGUAAAGAGCUCGUAGGCGGUCUGUUACGUCUGCUGUGAAAACCCGGGGCUUAACCCUGGGCUGGCAGUGGAUACGGACAGACUAGAGGUAGGUAGGGGAGAAUGGAAUUCCCGGUGUAGCGGUGAAAUGCGCAGAUAUCAGGAAGAACACCCGUGGCUAAGGCGGCUCUCUAGUACGGUACUGACGCUGAGACGCGAAAGCGUGGGGAGCGAACAGG
rnacentral:rRNA from 1 species